GAGGAGGCGCCAGAGGGGCACAGCUUCCAGCAGCUCUGGAGCUUCCUCUUCUCAGCCCGAGACGGGUCUGCAGGGGUCAGCUUCCCCCUCACCUGCCUCUGAUGUCUGAGGCGUACGAGUGGCCGUCUUCCAGCUAGGUCCCAGAGGGUUGACCAGAAGCUCUGGGAGACUGAGAUGACAUCAGAGCCACUUCAAGUUUAACAUUUAAAUGAUGUUAAACUUUUGUAUAUAGUUCAUUUUGUUGUUUGAUGUUGUGUUGUUUUCUUUGUACAUGUAAAUAGUUGUGAAGUUUAAAAUUACAUAAUUGUUUUUUAUAUAUCGUCCCUGUGCAGUGUGAACCAACCACCUGCAGAGCAGCCAC